UUAUGGAUAAAUAGUCAUUGGAUUGCUAGUGAGUGUCAAAGUUGACCAUCUCGUCUCUAUCCCUUCGGGAUUAGGCGGGACACUCAUUGGGUGCACGUUAUUUUUGUACUCAUACUACACUUGAUGUGCAUUUUAUUGCACAAGUUUAUUGUGUGGCUCGCGGCAUAGCGGCAUGAUGGUCGCAAAGACUAGGUGAGUUGUAAUUCUUCGAGGCGAUUCCACAUCUAGUAUAGUCUCUUUCAUAAUUUUAUUUAUUU
rnacentral:lncRNA from 1 species